UACGAAGGGGGCUAGCGUUGCUCGGAAUCACUGGGCGUAAAGGGUGCGUAGGCGGGUCUUUUAAGUCAGGGGUGAAAUCCUGGAGCUCAACUCCAGAACUGCCUUUGAUACUGAAGAUCUUGAGUUCGGGGAGAGGUGAGUGGAACUGCGAGUGUAGAGGUGAAAUUCGUAGAUAUCGCAAGAACACCAGUGGCGAAGGCGGCCUC
rnacentral:rRNA from 1 species